UUUGGUUAAGUUAGAAAGGGCGCACGGUGGAUGCCUUGACACUAGGAGUCGAUGAAGGACGGGACUAACGCCGAUAUGCUUCGGGGAGCUGUAAGUAAGCUUUGAUCCGAAGAUUUCCGAAUGGGGAAACCCACCAUACGUAAUGGUAUGGUAUCCUUAUCUGAAUACAUAGGGUAAGGAAGACAGACCCAGGGAACUGAAACAUCUAAGUACCUGGAGGAAGAGAAAGCAAAUGCGAUUUCCUGAGUAGCGGCGAGCGAAACGGAACAUAGCCCAAACCAAGAGGCUUGCCUCUUGGGGUUGUAGGACAUUCUAUACGGAGUUACAAAGGAACGAGGUAGACGAAGCGACCUGGAAAGGUCCGUCGUAGAGGGUAACAACCCCGUAGUCGAAACUUCGUUCUCUCUUGAAUGUAUCCUGAGUACGGCGGAACACGUGAAAUUCCGUCGGAAUCUGGGAGGACCAUCUCCCAAGGCUAAAUACUCCCUAGUGAUCGAUAGUGAACCAGUACCGUGAGGGAAAGGUGAAAAGCACCCCGGAAGGGGAGUGAAAGAGAUCCUGAAACCGUGUGCCUACAAAUAGUCAGAGCCCGUUAAUGGGUGAUGGCGUGCCUUUUGUAGAAUGAACCGGCGAGUUACGAUCCCGUGCGAGGUUAAGCUGAAGAGGCGGAGCCGCAGCGAAAGCGAGUCUGAAUAGGGCGUUUAGUACGUGGUCGUAGACCCGAAACCAGGGGAUCUACCCAUGUCCAGGGUGAAGUUCAGGUAACACUGAAUGGAGGCCCGAACCCACGCACGUUGAAAAGUGCGGGGAUGAGGUGUGGGUAGCGGAGAAAUUCCAAUCGAACCUGGAGAUAGCUGGUUCUCCCCGAAAUAGCUUUAGGGCUAGCCUUAAGUGUAAGAGUCUUGGAGGUAGAGCACUGAUUGGACUAGGGGUCCUCAUCGGAUUACCGAAUUCAGUCAAACUCCGAAUGCCAAUGACUUAUCCUUAGGAGUCAGACUGCGAGUGAUAAGAUCCGUAGUCAAAAGGGAAACAGCCCAGACCGCCAGCUAAGGUCCCAAAGUGUGUAUUAAGUGGAAAAGGAUGUGGAGUUGCUUAGACAACUAGGAUGUUGGCUUAGAAGCAGCCACCAUUUAAAGAGUGCGUAAUAGCUCACUAGUCGAGUGACUCUGCGCCGAAAAUGUACCGGGGCUAAAUACACCACCGAAGCUGCGGAUUGAUACCGAAUGGUAUCAGUGGUAGGGGAGCGUUCUAAGGACAGUGAAGUCAGACCGUAAGGACUGGUGGAGUGCUUAGAAGUGAGAAUGCCGGUAUGAGUAGCGAAAGACGGGUGAGAAUCCCGUCCACCGAAUGCCUAAGGUUUCCUGAGGAAGGCUCGUCCGCUCAGGGUUAGUCAGGACCUAAGCCGAGGCCGACAGGCGUAGGCGAUGGACAACAGGUUGAUAUUCCUGUACCACCUCUUUAUCGUUUGAGCAAUGGAGGGACGCAGAAGGAUAGAAGAAGCGUGCGAUUGGUUGUGCACGUCCAAGCAGUUAGGCUGAUAAGUAGGCAAAUCCGCUUAUCGUGAAGGCUGAGCUGUGAUGGGGAAGCUCCUUAUGGAGCGAAGUCUUUGAUUCCCCGCUGCCAAGAAAAGCUUCUAGCGAGAUAAAAGGUGCCUGUACCGCAAACCGACACAGGUAGGCGAGGAGAGAAUCCUAAGGUGUGCGAGAGAACUCUGGUUAAGGAACUCGGCAAAAUGACCCCGUAACUUCGGGAGAAGGGGUGCUUUCUUAACGGAAAGCCGCAGUGAAUAGGCCCAAGCGACUGUUUAGCAAAAACACAGCUCUCUGCGAAGCCGUAAGGCGAAGUAUAGGGGGUGACACCUGCCCGGUGCUGGAAGGUUAAGGAGAGGGGUUAGCGUAAGCGAAGCUCUGAACUGAAGCCCCAGUAAACGGCGGCCGUAACUAUAACGGUCCUAAGGUAGCGAAAUUCCUUGUCGGGUAAGUUCCGACCCGCACGAAAGGUGUAACGAUUUGGGCACUGUCUCAACCAGAGACUCGGUGAAAUUAUAGUACCUGUGAAGAUGCAGGUUACCCGCGACAGGACGGAAAGACCCCGUGGAGCUUUACUGUAGCCUGAUAUUGAAUUUUGGUACAGUUUGUACAGGAUAGGCGGGAGCCAUUGAAACCGGAGCGCUAGCUUCGGUGGAGGCGCUGGUGGGAUACCGCCCUGACUGUAUUGAAAUUCUAACCUACGGGUCUUAUCGACCCGGGAGACAGUGUCAGGUGGGCAGUUUGACUGGGGCGGUCGCCUCCUAAAGUGUAACGGAGGCGCCCAAAGGUUCCCUCAGAAUGGUUGGAAAUCAUUCGUAGAGGGCAAAGGCAUAAGGGAGCUUGACUGCGAGACCUACAAGUCGAGCAGGGACGAAAGUCGGGCUUAGUGAUCCGGUGGUUCCGCAUGGAAGGGCCAUCGCUCAACGGAUAAAAGCUACCCCGGGGAUAACAGGCUUAUCUCCCCCAAGAGUCCACAUCGACGGGGAGGUUUGGCACCUCGAUGUCGGCUCAUCGCAUCCUGGGGCUGUAGUCGGUCCCAAGGGUUGGGCUGUUCGCCCAUUAAAGCGGUACGCGAGCUGGGUUCAGAACGUCGUGAGACAGUUCGGUCCCUAUCCGUCGUGGGCGUAGGAAAUUUGAGAGGAGCUGUCCUUAGUACGAGAGGACCGGGAUGGACGCACCGCUGGUGUACCAGUUGUUCUGCCAAGGGCAUAGCUGGGUAGCUAUGUGCGGAAGGGAUAAGUGCUGAAAGCAUCUAAGCAUGAAGCCCCCCUCAAGAUGAGAUUUCCCAUAGCGUAAGCUAGUAAGAUCCCUGAAAGAUGAUCAGGUUGAUAGGUUCGAGGUGGAAGCAUGGUGACAUGUGGAGCUGACGAAUACUAAUAGAUCGAGGACUUAACCAUAUAA
rnacentral:rRNA from 1 species